rnacentral:RNase_P_RNA from 13 species
UCGCUUUGUUACAUUUCGGUGUUUUCAAAGGGGAGGAAAGUCCGGGCUCUACAGGGCAGGGUGCCAGAUAACGUCUGGGCGGCGUGAGCCGACGACAAGUGCAGCAGAGAGAAGACCGCCGAUGUGCGCAAGCGCAGGUAAGGCUGAAAGGGUGCGGUAAGAGCGCACCGGACCACUGGUAACAGUUGGUUGCAGGGUAAACUCCACCCGGAGCAAGACCAAAUAGGGUUCCAUACGGCGCGGCCCGCGUUGGAACCGGGUAGGUUGCUUGAGCCAGUGAGCAAUUGCUGGCCUAGAUGAAUGAUUGUCACUUCUUCGGAGGUAACAGAACCCGGCUUACUGACCAACUCAU